GUAUUUAGUCAAAAAGUCGGGAUUUUUUUUUUCCCCCAAACAGAAAGGUUGUGAAAGGUGGCCACAUAAUUGCAGAUUAAAAUAAAGCUAUUUCCCCAGUGUUAG